rnacentral:rRNA from 1 species
CCUACGGGCCGCACCAGUAGGGAAUAUUGCACAAUGGGCGAAAGCCUGAUGCAGCAACGCCGCGUGCGCGAAGAAGGCCUUCGGGUUGUAAAGCGCUUUUCUGGAGGAAGAGCAAGGACGGUACUCCAGGAAUAAGGAUCGGCUAACUACGUGCCAGCAGCCGCGGUAACACGUAGGAUUCGAGCGUUAUCCGAAUUACUGGGCGUAAAGCGCGUGUAGGCGGCUGGGUAAGUUGGACGUGAAAGCUCCUGGCUCAACUAGGAGAGGUCGUUCAAAACUGCCUGGCUAAAGGGCGACAGAGGGAGGUGGAAUUCCCGGUGUAGUGGUGAAAUGCGUAGAUAUCGGGAGGAACACCAGUGGCGAAGGCGGCCUCCUGGGUCGCCCCUGACGCUCAGACGCGAAAGCUAGGGGAGCGAACGGGAUUAGAUACCCCGGUAGUC